UAUUGGACAAUGGGCGCAAGCCUGAUCCAGCAAUGCCGUGUGUGUGAAGAAGGCCUUCGGGUUGUAAAGCACUUUUAGUGGGGAAGAAAGUCUUAAGAUUAAUAAUCUUGAGAAUUGACGUUACCCACAGAAAAAGCACUGGCUAACUCUGUGCCAGCAGCCGCGGUAAUACAGAGAGUGCGAGCGUUAAUCGGAAUUACUGGGCGUAAAGCGUACGUAGGUGGAUGUUUAAGUCAGAUGUGAAAGCCCCGAGCUUAACUUGGGAAUUGCAUUUGAUACUGGGCGUCUAGAGUAUAGUAGAGGGAAGUGGAAUUUCUGGUGUAGCGGUGAAAUGCGUAGGUAUCAGAAGGAACAUCAGUGGCGAAAGCGGCUUCCUGGACUAAUACUGACACUAGUACGAA
rnacentral:rRNA from 1 species